CCCUGUAACGCAAUGGGUAGGUGCGUUGAACUUCUAAUCCAAAGGUCGUGGGUUCGAAUCCCACCUGGAAGG
rnacentral:tRNA from 1 species